AGGUGGCCUAGCUGCUGAAAUAACCCAGCAUGUCCAGUGAGCAGACAGUAUGGCAGCUGCCAUCUAAACCAGCUGUGUAUUCAACAGACACACUCAGGCCCAGGGUCCGCCCUAGCUUUGGAGUCCGUCUGUGGGUGCUGUCUGCUCCCUGAACAGAAGUUACAGGGACACAGGGGUGGGCUGGCCCUGCCUCCUGAGUGGUGGCCCUGGCCCUCCCUUCUUCUGUUGCCCUGGGUACAGGCUGACCCCAAUCCCACCUUGUCUCCCUGCGUCAGUACUGACUGGAGUCACCGGCCACUCCCAAGCCGCUCCCUGUCACCCUAGGGCGGCAGUGACUCAGCGGCCACCGACAGCGACCUCCCCAGCCCGGGUGAGUGGCUGCCGGUGUUGUGCGGGAGGCCCGGGCCAGCCGGGUGGAGGUUUAGGGUGGGGCUGACAGGUGCGGCCCCGACUCACCCAGUCCUCGCUCGACCCGGGGCACUUUGCCGGGAUAGGGGGAUCCACCUGGCGGCCCACCUGGGAAUGACAGUGACCUGUUUUAGAGCUGGACGCUCCGGGCCGCCGCGACCGGCCAGAGCGCCAUCUCCUGGCCCAAGCCUGCAAACUCGCGGCUUACAGGGGAUGACCCGCACCCAGCCCGUGACUGAUCGGGAGAGAAAUUGAGACCCAGAACUCAGGUCCGGACUCCCAGCCCAGUACUCUUCCAAGGGCCUCCUCGGUUCCCAUUGCAUCAUAGUGAGAUGGGAAGCUCCCAGAAACUCCAGCAGGGCCUGUCUGUAAGAUAGCUGAAGCUCUCCACUGCCGGAGCAGUGAAGCCCUGGCCUGGGUGUCUCUGUGUACCUGACCUCCCAACUUCAUUGGGGGGGACACCCUGUGACCCUCAGUCUACCUGCCUCAUGCAGCAACAACUGGAUGACACGUGAAGAGGCCUGGCCCAGUGCAUCCUGGCACAGGACAAACGGCAAGGAUGAGCAGACAGCACCUGACAACUCACCAGUGCCUGAGUACCCAAGCAUCUGGCCACCAUGGAGGCUCCACAGGGCUUGGGGCUGGAGCCCUGGGCUCCUGGGGUGCCUUGGGACAGCUGGACUUUGCAUGCCUGUCUGUAAAGGGCCGGCAGAACAAACCCCUCUAGACACCUAGACCAGAGACGGAAGUAUGUGGCCUGACUCUUGUUUAUUGAUCUGAAACUUAGAGGUAGGUGGGCCAAGCCAGCAGGAACCUGACUUUGCUUACCAGGGCAGUCUGGGGACCCUUGUUCCAAACAGACAGAACCACUCCAGGGGCUGUGCCUGUUGCCAUGGGAGCCAGCCCAGCACCCUGGAGAAGGCUUUAUGUGAUAGAACACUCAUCUUGCAUUUGACCCACAAGCCUAGGAGAAUAGGACAGUGAGCUGAGGGUAGGAAAACUUUGUGGUUUUCCUUGGAUUUUUUUUUUUUUUUUUUUUUUGCCAUACUGCGGCACACAGAACUUCCCUACAUGUCCUGUCCAGGGACUGAACUUGUGCCCCCUUCAGUGGAAGCACAGAGUCUUAACCACUGGACCACCAGGGAAGUCCUCCUUGGCAUUUAAAAAAUGAAGUUCUUAUUAUGAGAUAAUUUUAGACUGACACAAAGGCCCCAAAGUCAGUAUUAGCAUUUCUGUAGACUUUCCACCUGGUUUCCCCUAAUGUUAACAUCUUACACAAGUCAUGGUACAACUGUUGUACUGAAAUUGACUGGUACUUAAUUCAUUAAACUUCACAGACUUUGCUCAGAUUUCA